rfam:Aspergillus tubingensis CBS 134.48 unplaced genomic scaffold ASPTTscaffold_5, whole genome shotgun sequence.
GGCAAGAUGGCCGAGUGGUUUAAGGCGUCGCACUUAAGUCGUUGGAACUCUUCCUGGUUUGGUUUAUUACAACCGGACUGGUAAUCGUUUGGCGGAAAUGCGAUCUCGUAAGAGGCGCGGGUUCGAACCCCGUUCUUGCCA